AAAAAAAGAGAGAAGGGGAAUUUUUGACAGGGAGCACAAGCACAGGAACAGAGGGAGAGAUAUGCAAGACAUCUAUGCGUGUAAUACUCUCUUCUCUUUAAUUCCUUUCUUUUAUUUUUUGUCGUUUUCUCU
rnacentral:ribozyme from 11 species